ACCUGCCAGGUUACGAACAGAAACAUCAUAGGAGGCCGACGACCCCAGGCGAGCGGGCUGCUGACCGCGAAGCCAGAUCGGAAAAGUGAGCGGAGGUAGAUGAAGAGCUUGGGCAGGGAUA
rnacentral:autocatalytically_spliced_intron from 1 species